CACCAACUACUAAUUAAUCAGACAUGAAGAUCAUGCCGUUGAUGUCCGUCGCCUUCUUCAUACUCUUGAUAUCAUUUCUGGAUCCGAUCAAAGCUCAAGGUAUCGUUGGCUGCGACACUCAACUUGAUAAAUGCAUAACCGCGAUGAAUAAAAAUGAAUGGAGUCUCGUGCAAAAAGACUGUUGUCCCAGACUGAGAAAGACAGGCCCUCAACAAUGUAUGUGUUUGUUAUUUAAGUACCCUUCGCUUAAAGCACCUGCUAUGAGGCUUAUCAAAUAUUGUCAAGCUCCAACUCCCAAGUGCUAAGAGAUUAAUAUACAAUACAUUAACAACAUUGUUUCGAUCGAGCUCGUGGACUAGUUGUGUUGCCAUGUUAUAAUCGUAUUUAAACAUGUUUUUAAUAUAUUCAAGGUUUCUUUUGUUAUAUCGUAUGUCAUGACAUCCCUAGUUGCAGCUUUUCCCGUCUACAAAACGAUUUGUUCAUCUAUUUUUUGGCAUGUGAGGACUCUUCUUUUGCCAAAUAUGUGAGGACUCCACCAUCAUCAGCCUUUGGUUUGUAAAUGAUUUUUUUUUUUAUUUGCCAGUAUUCGGAACAUCACAACUUGGCAUCGGAUAUGAAAUAUGUGGGACCAUAUUUCUAGAUUAAUUUUAAUAAAAGACUGAUAAUUUGGGUUUCAUGUAACCUAUGUAUAAUAGUUUAUUAAAAUAUUUGGAGACCAAACGAAUGUUUCAUCCAGCUAUUCAUAAUCAACCCAUAACUUCUUAUGACACACGAGCAUAUAUAUAUAACAACUUCGUUACACAUGGUCCAAAUACCAAGAGAAGGAUUAGAUUUACAAAUGUAAGAGAUAGCGAAACUCGUAUUCGUGAGGCCUUACUUCUAUUAAUUUGUUCAAAGACGACUCACUUUGCUUCUUCAGCCAUUCCAUUGCUGUUUCCUUGAGCUGCAAGCAACGUUGUCCUGGUGGUAGCUGCCUGCAUAUCCACUCAACUAAUGUCCCUUCAUCAUCUGCGAAAUCACGAAGACGCUUGUGCAAGAAUCUCGGAAUCACAAUCUUUUUCCUCCCCGAGAUACCUAUGGAGGCUUCUAAGUACUCGGUUCUUGCUUUGAUUAGUUCGUUCACCACAUCUUCUGCUGUAUAGACUCUCAACUAUAUCAUGCAUACACAGAUUCUUUGUCACUUUAAUAACUCUGAAGAAACACUUAUCUAACCGCACGCAUGGAGAAAAAGAGUGAACUUACUGCAGGCGAAGACCAAUCUCCACGACAAAGCACGAACAUUAGGUUCGGUUCAACGCAUCUGAAUCCGUACCGUUUGUGUACAUCAGUACUUAGAGCUUCCAAGGGUUUGCAUGGACUAUGCAAGAUGGAUCCUUCAAUAUCUAGGGCAGAUAGUUGCGUGCCUCCCACGUCAAUAGUUGCCUACAACACAAGUCAAUGUGAUUUAACUAUGAGAAGUUUAACAAGAUGACUCUUCUUGUUAUGUAUUAAUUAAGUACCAUUUUGAGAAUGGUCAGUAGUUUCUCCUUUGAUGAAGGUAGUCCAUGUUCCAAAAAUCCCUGCAAAAAAAAAAUUCAUGUUUUCAGAACUUGGUUUCAACUAAAGAUGUAUGUCUGAGUUCUUGGAGCUUUGUUACAUUCAUGACGCAUGCGUUGUAGGUAUUGAUCCAGAAUGUCAUCUUUUUCUUGUGAUUCAAGAAACUCAGAUCCACUUUGCUCAACUUCUCCUUCAAAACCCUACACAUGUGUGUGUUUUAAAUGAAAUCUUCAACAAGCAAUGGAUAUUUCACGAUCAAAGGGUGUAGUACUAUUUGUAGUAGCGGCCCUUCUAUAUCGUAGUAACAAUCGAAAUAUAGUCUCAACAGAUAAUUAAGAAGGAAGAUGACACUGAAGUACCUUAGAUUGACAAGAGAAGUUGAGCAAUCAGAUAGACGGCUAACAUCAAUGCAAGUUCGAGUGAUGUGGAUGAAGUUCUUGUACUCUCCAAUGUCUCUGAUACAAGUCCCCAUCACAACUCCAUAAGGAUCAAGAUUUGAUGCGUUCUGCCCAUACACUGAUUUGCGUUUGAAAGAAGCGUUCUUCAGGUGUGAGAGGCUCAGCUUUGAAACCGUUCUUGACCCUUCUCUCUCUCGCGAUGACUUGUUGAGUUCCAAAUAGAUUCCCAUCAAGCACUUCAACAGAUCUUCUGAUACUCCAUUUGGUGUCGUCUCUUGCCCUUUAUUGCUAUCUUGCAUUCUUGAAAAAGUCGAAGAACGGUGUCUUGGUGAGAAGGGAUUGCUCAUUUGAACGUUCUUGAUAUCUUGCAUUCUUGAAAAAGUCGAAGAACUGUGUCUUGGUGAGAAGGGAUUGCUCAUUUGGAUAUCCUUGAAACCAUGAGGAUCUUCACAACUCUGUAACUUGGAUCUUUGUUUUAGAUCCUUAGAUCUCAUCUUUGGAAUGUCACUGUCAGGUUCCCAAGGAAGUUGAUUCUGCCUUUGUAGAAGUUUCUUAGGAGUAGUCAUCAUCAUCAUCCUCUCUUCUCUUUCAUCAUAUUUGGCUUCAAGUUCUUGAUUCACUUUCCUCUCACUAUACGCAUCAUGUUUCAGGUCUUGGAUUUGUUUCUCGAGGCAGGUUAUCUCUGCCUCAACCAUAGUAAGCUCCUCUAUUAUAUCUUGAACCUAAUUAAACAACCUCAAAAUCAUGUUUCAUUUCUUUGUUCAAACAUUCAAAACGCAGAGUUUUAUCUAUAAGUAGACUUGCCUCAGGAGGAAGAAGCAGUAAAGAGAGACGAGGCUGAGACAUGACUGGUCCAAGAAGUAUACCACGUAAAGCCUUGUUGAGUGCUUGCUCCUCCUCUAGCUCCCCUUGCAUUUUCAUCACAUCUCUUUGAAGACGAAGUUUUUGUUUCUUCUUUAGCAACCCAUCACUCUUCUCUUCUUCGCUCUUUAUAGAUGAGUUUUGACUUACUUGGUUUUGCAAUUGCUGGCGGUUUAGACGGCGAUGAUGAUCAAGAAGAUCCGCUACACUUUGUUGACCUUCAAGUAAGUCUUCAAGAUUCAUUUUGUGGUUUCUAUGGAGUCUUGAGAAAAUAUGGUAAGUAACUAACCAUGUGUUUAGUGAAGCUAUAUAAAUGAGAUCAAUGUGGGAAUAUUAAUUAGAUCAUAAAUAACAGUCGUGCCAGCAAUUAAGUCAUAUGAUGUUUCAUGCAUUGGUUUGGUAUUGUUUUUAGGAUUAGGAGAAAGUCAUCAUGAUCGUGAAAGCCAUUAACACAAAAAGAGGAUUGAUUCAGGUUACAAAGGGAAGAUUUUAAUUUAAAAUAAAAAACGAAACCACAACAUGGCUUUACUAUAUUUUGUUUGACUCUAUAAAAGUUUUGAUUGGUGACAUGAGUUAUAUUUUAUUUGAGUCAUGAGUUAUACUGAUAACUCAAAAAUUAUUGCCUCUUUUGUGAGGCUUUACUGUAAUAUCAUGGACCCGCUCAAUCUCAUCACUGUAAUCUUUCUAUUAUACAAUCUUGAAACCACUAGGACCAAAAUCUUGUCACCCAUUUUAAACCCGUAUCUUUUGAGUCGAAUCCUUCGAAUGGUAUUGGAUUUUGUAUAGGUAUGAUAUUUGUCCAGGACAUCAGAGACGUGCGGCUUCACAAACUUGAGACUAACUUGGGAUCAUUCCAAGGUACAUCUGCAGUAAAGGUAUUUGCUUCUUCUUGACAUUACCUUCAUAACAUCUCAAGAGUCAAGAGUGUGAUUAUACAAACAGCCAUAUUAAAAAUUAAAAUGCAAGAUCCCUAAUGUAUCGGCAAUGGAAGUAAACCUAGUCCGCCCGUUUGUGAGAAGAGCCUUUAAAGCGUUUUAUAAGCAUUACAAGCCGGAGGCUAAUGCAUACAGAGACAGUAGAAGUAGUAGACAACCUCGUGAAGCUAAUAAUGAACCAAGGGUAAAGCCAUUCACAUUGCCCACGCAUUUUCUUGUCUUUUCGUCUUAAAAGAAAUCUAACACAAACCUCAACUGUGUUUUACAGAGACCUCUAAGGUAACAGUAAGGAGUUUAGAUGUCCUUGCCUAAGUGAGAAGAAGUCAGGUAUCUUCUGUGCCAAUAUUUAUAGAGCUCCCUGAGAACUAAGAACACCCAGAGCAUCUAUCUUUGUGUCUUAAUAUAUGCCUUGAUUCUCCUAUUGUGAAUUGAAGAUGAAUUCCCAUAAUGUUGCAUUUCAAAUGUGGACUAAACCAAUGUCAGAACAAUAUUGAGCAGCACCAUAUUUAUUUUCAAAACCUAUCAACCCUAGGGCGAAGUAAUAAUUUAAUUAUGAAAAGUAUAUAUCAAAAUUGAACUACUGAUGAACUUGAAUCAGUCAUAGGGGACAUUUAUGAUGGUUCUGUCUUCUGAAGGACUAAGUUUUAUACAUUCUUAAUACUAGUUAUAUGUUUACCCGAAACGAUAAUUUUCUCUAAUGAGAAAAACUGAUGCCUUAAUAGUCUGCCUUUUUCAAAAGGAGAAAUACAAAUUGGAUCAAAUUACUAGAAGAUGUGACAAAUUAGAUCCUGGUAGUUGAUUUCUAUCAAGACUGAUUCAAGAAGCAAAGGAUGUAGAUUAUCGUAAUGCUUUGAAAUUGAGUCUGCAUCAAUCAAAGAGCGAGGAAUGUUACUGUUACACCCGUCACCUCCAAUCCGGAGAACAGCGGGGCACCAACAAUAUCUCGUAUAAUAAAAGCCCAUAUACCCAAUUACACUCACCCAAAGCCCAAAUAAAAAUCUGAAUAAAAAGUUCAGUAGCACCAAUCCGUCCAAAUAUCAUAUACUCGUCAGUCUCACCUGAAAUGGGGAAGAGAGAGGGGUGAGUAACGGGGAAGUCACUCAGUGAGGUAUGGGAUACUAAACCCGAAGUCCAUGGACCCGGACAUAGCACUCCGAAUAAAUAUAAUUUAAUCCUAACACGUUGCAAAUACGGUAUCUAAAAUACCCAAAGAUCACACAACAGUGCACACUCGCUGCCCACUGACAGGCCAAAACACCACCGAAUAUGUGCUCGGUAACACACGCCCGUAGACGAUUUAUCGACCUCGAAGCCUUGGCACAGCAGGUCGACUAAGCUGUGCCGCAGCAUACACCACACCCAAUGUACUGGUCUCCGGCCGACACACAGAAUUACGUCUCCAUGGUCGGCUAACACCCAAAUCACCUCAAUAUACUAUAUACAUAUAUAUUAUCAAUUAUAAAUGAACAAGCACUGUUGAACCAUCUAACACCCUAGUUCCGGUUUAAGCAAAGAGCCUAAAACUAAAUAAGCAAUGAUAGACUUGAUUUCACACAGACGGAACACAUUAGAAACAAAUUAUACUUAUUCGAGGUCCUAAGCCGUGUAAGAGAAGUUCGGGAAAAGACCCUCACCUUGGGAACGGAUACACCUCGUCCAAUAGAACUCGGUUUAGAGUUUCACGACUUGAAAAUAUUACUUCAUGUUAUUGAUGGUCUUCAAUGAAACGUGUUCCAUGACUCUUCUUACACCUUCUUUGCACGUGGUGGAGAAGUAAAUCCCAAGAGCAAGUUGGUUGGUGAUUAACUACACACAUGCAAAUACAUGCAAGGGCACGAUAAGAGUUUGUGUCACAAAGGUUACUUGCAACACAAGAAAUACAGAAGUGACCACUUAACUAACACGACUUGGGAUCACGAUAAUGGAUCUUACACUCCGACGACGUUGGCUCCAUCAACGGUGACUAACGGUUUAUGGCAGUGAGAAUCGGUGGUCGGCGGUGAUGAGAUGGUGGCUCCGUCUUAGCUCGUUUCUUCCUCACGUCUUAUGCUUCUCAGAUCAUAAUAUCGUGUCAACCAUAAAACAAUGACGAUUGAUCUUUGACGAUCAGCCCAUAACUCAAACGUGACGUGGUGGCUCCGGGACAAUGAACAAAGGUGGUGAUAUCACAACGGUGGCUCUCGGUGCUGGAUUGUUCAUGGGGCACGGACGGUGGCUGGUGAUGAUGAGAUUGACAAGGGUAUGGGUUCGCUGAGCAUAACAUCUCCAUUGGCGGCGCACGUCUUUAGGUUUUAGGUAGGAGGAGAUAUUUACACAAUAUAUAGUUGCAGAAUAUUGGUCAAAAUCGAGAAAGGUUAGGGAAAUUAUAACUAAAAUUAAAUCCCACCGGUUUACCCAAAACCGGAUCGUUACAAUUCUCCCACACUUAUAAAGAAUUCGUCUUCGAAUUCAAAUCCUGAGCCCGUUAUCCAAUACCAUCCUGAGAAAGAUUUGGAUAGGUAAUCAUCAUCUGAAUCUCGAUUUUUCUCCUCCUGGAUCUUGUCUCUCUCUCUCAACAAACUUUGACGAACAUGGUCUUCAUUAUCUGAGCCGCUUUUUACUUUCCGAUUCAUAAUCUCCACUGGAUGGGUAGGUGUAGACAACUUUUUUUUUUUUUUUACUGAGAUCACUCGGUGGCUUGUGCAAAAUGAGCUUUGGCUCUCUCACGUCCUUCCUCAACUCUGACACAUGAAACACAUCAUGAAAGUCUGACAGCUCUGGUGAUAACUGCAAUCUAAAAGCUAUUGCUCAAAUCAGCUCCACAAAGGUACGGUCCCAUAUACGCAGCUUAGGCUUUCUUUUUUUUUUCUUUUUCUUUUAGCUUUUGGAUUUUAGAUCUUCUCUGAGAUAUCCUCAUUUUCAGGUAUAAUAAGUCUCCCACCUCAAUUUUAAAAAUCUUUCUGGCGCUUAUCUGCAGAAUUCUUUAAACAAAUUUUUUUUUCUUUUUUGAGCAUCUUCAUUAGUUCUACCGUCUCUUGAACCAUUAAUAGUUUUAACUCACGUCGCUCCCCCACUUUGGUCCAACAAAGUGGUGUACAUCAAGGCCUACCAUAAAGAAUCUCAUAUGGUGAAAUCUCAAUGCUCGAAUGAUAGCUGUCGAUGUAAGAAAACUCUGCUAUAUGUAGAUGCUCAAAAUAGUCCUCUUUGACUGACAAUCUGCGGUUGAUAAAUUGUACUCUUAUGGACCUUUGUCCUUCUGAAAGGCUCUCUAAAAUGCAGACGUAAACUUCCAAUCGCGAUAUGAUACAAUGAUGACAUAAACACCAAGCAACUUCACAAUCACGCUGAUGUAAAUCUGUACCAACUGAUCAACUCUGUGUGUCUUCUUAACUACUAGGAAAUUGGUUGACUUGGUAAAUAUAUCCAUGGCUACACAUAUGGCAUCCUUCCCACAUGUGGUGAUCGACAAUCCAGUAAACAACAUCCAUAAUCACCAUGCCUUAUUUCCACUCCAGAAAAAGCAAGCUCAACAAUAACCUGAAAGGUAUCAGAUCCUCUGACAUAACCAUCUGACAUGUCUGAUAACACGACACAAUGUAGCUAUAAUCUUUUUCAUACUGAGCCAAUGAUAAAAACACUUCAUAUUUUUGUAUCCGUUAAUGUUUCCCGGGUGGAUAGAAAAACGCGAGUGAUGUGUUUGCUGUAAGAUCCCUUUUCUUAACAUCUUAUCGUCCAACACACAAACUCGGUUUUGGUACAUGUACAUCCUGCUCAAAAUUGUAUGAUAUCCAAUACUCCCAAUCUCGAUCUGCUUAACCAAAGUCGCAUCGCUAUCUCGUGCUUGGCGUAUCCUCCAUGAAAAUAUGCCUGCUCCAAGGUCUCAAGGCCAUCUAUUUCUCUCUCAACAGUAAUGACACACAAUCUGAGAUUAGUAAUUGUCCCUGUAAAUUCAUGAACCUUUUUGGUUCCCAAUACGUCGCUCACGGGCCCACUUAAGGCAUCUUCCAACUGGUUGGGCUUACCAAAUAGUAUGCGGUAUCCAAACUGUAGUCUGUUACCAACUCAAUCCAACUUCACUGUCUAAGUAAAAGUCCUAAGAAGCGAAGAUAUAUUGCAAACUGAUGAUCCCAAAGAAUCUGGACUUCCUUCCCAUACAAUUAUGGUCUCCAAAACUAUAAUGCCACUAUCACUGCAGCCUCUCUGGUGUGAUGCAUAUGCAAUGACCUGAUCUCCCUACAUCAAUCCACAACCCAAGCCAGUAUUGACACAUCUUAGUAAACCUCAGUCUCAGUAUAACCAAAAUUGGUGUCUUCGUCAGCUGUGCUUUAAUUCAGUGAACUCCUCGAACAAAACUUUUCCAAUCCCACUUGACGUCAUUACAUGUAGACCGCUUCUCCAACAUUACUAUACUGGGAAAACCCUAGAUGAACUUCUAGUAGUACCCUGCUAACCCAAAAGCUGCGGAUCUAUGUAGUCGAUACAAAUUCUGAAACUCCAAUCUUCCCUCUUCACAAUCAAUAAUGAUGCUCCCCACGGUGAAGUACUCGGUCUGAUAAAAUCCAUGUCUGAUGAAUCUUCCAUAUGUUCUUUCAGCUCGGUCAUCUCUGCUGCCGCUAAUUGGUAUAGAACUCGUGAAACCGGUGAUGACCCUGACUCCAACUCGAUCGUACUCAUGUCUGAUGAAUCUUCCAUAUGUUCUUUCAGCUCGGUCAUCUCUGCUGCCGAUAAUUGGUAUAGAACUCGUGAAACCGGUGAUGACCCUGACUCCAACUCGAUCGUACGAACAGCUCCUCUUGCUGGUGACAACUCUUCCAAAGGCCUCAAAUAUAUCUCCAUACUAUGCAAUAACUCUAAGAUCCUGCAACUCAUGUUGUCCAUCAUCCUUAAACAUCGAACUGAUCACCAAAAUUCCAUUUACUCCUAUAUCCAAUAUUUCCUCAGCAUGUAGCAUGUAGACAAUACAAACUCUCAUCGGAUCCAGGAAUAAGAACUCUUGCCCUCAAGCAAAUCAACACUACGUGAUGUCAUGACAGCCAAUCCUUCUCAAGAAUGACAUCGCAUAAACUCAGCUCCAUCUCUGGCGAAUCUUCGAAUAACUCGACUCCUCCAUGCAUAAAUGGUACAACUCGUAUGUAAAUAGCUCCCAAUGUUCUAUGUCAGCUGUCCGAACUGACACACCUCUGAAACGAUCAACAAUGCCAAAAACUAGCAAACAAAACCAAGCUAACCCCAAUAUCAACACAACGCAAGCUGAUGCACCCCCAUCCAAAAGCGAUCCCCACGAGUUUACAAACUGAACAUAUCUCCAAAAUAGUCAACAUACUCGUACACAAAACAACACAUGCCAACCAAUGGCUCAUACGUCACACCAUGUAAUCUCCAGUAACAAAAACUCGUGGAACGAUUGCUUGAAGUAGGGUGGAAGCAGAACCGUCACAUAUCAACCAAAUCAUAAUUCUAAACCUAUUACACAACAAAUCACAAUCCUACCCAAUCACCCUAACAAAAAUCUAUCAAAAAACUUAUAAAAUCAUCAAAUCUACUUAAAAACCUAACAAAUAGGACCUAAGAGAGUGGGAUAAGGUCCUUACAUGAUUUGUAAAGGAAUGGAAAGGAUUCGCCGGAGAGAUCGUCGCGAGAGAAGGUGGAGAACGCCGGAAGGAGAGAGAGAUCGCCGGAGAGGAAGAAGAGAGAAAUGGGGAAGAAGAGAGAAAUGGGGAAGAAGAUGCGGUUCGAGUUUAUAAAACCUUGGGUCUGACGGAUAUUUUCCGUCGGAAUUCCCUCAGUAUUUUCAAUUUCAAUUUUCGCGAAAUAUUUGGCGGCUUGUUUGCCCGGUUAAAUGAAAAUAUUCCGAGGAAAUUCCGACGGCCACUUAAAUAUCCGUCGAAAUUUCCUCGGAAUAUUUUCAUUAAUUCGAGGAAAAAGAAUAUCCUGUGCAUGUAUUUCUAUUAAUUUGUAUUGUUCCUCGGAAUUCCUCGGAAUAUUCCGAGGAAAUACCGAGGAACUAGUGUUUGGGGUUUCAAAACAUCAAUUUUUUUGCCGUAUUUCAUUUCUUAUACAAUUGUAAUGCAUACCAUUGAAGAUUCUUUGUAUAGAUGAGCAUAAACCAUGAAAUAACAAAUUUCAAAACGAAUUGUAAGUAUUCCCUUUACCGUUCAUUAAAGUGUAUAAGUGUUUCUCUUAUGUUGUGGGGAUUUCGUUCAUACAAUCGGAAAAGUGUUUAUUAUAGGGUAAUGAACAAAUUUUUGACUUCAUAAUGAACGUAAGACACUUAAUAAGGGUUAUAUAGGUGUUAUUCAAACCGCAAAACGUUGUUUUCGGUUUAAAAACCCUAUUUCCUCGGAAUUUCCUCGGAAUAUUCCGAGGAAAUUCCGAGGAAACCCUUUUCUUCCUCAGAAUUCCGUCGAAAUAUUCCGAGGAAAUUCCGAGGAACUAGUGUUUGGGGUUUCAAAACGUCAAUUUUUUUUUAAACGGAUCGAUCGAUGGAUAUAUGUCCAAAAACGCAUCGAUCGAUCACUAAGAUGGACCAAAGCGUAACAAUGUGAUCGAUCGAUGAGAUUAUCCCAUCGAUCGAUCGAGGAUAUCAAGUGUUCCUCGGAAUAUUCCGAGGAAAUUCUGAGGAACUAGUGUUUGAGGUUUCAAAAUCUCGAAUGUUUUUUUAUAAACGGAUCGAUCGAUGUAUUUAUGUCCAAAAACGCAUCGAUCGAUCACUAAGAUGGACCAAAGCGUAACAAUGUGAUCGAUCGAUGAGAUUAUCCCAUCGAUCGAUCGAGGAUAUCAAGUGUUCCUCGGAAUUUCCUCGGAAUAUUCCGAGGAAAUUCCGAGGAACUAGUGUUUGGGGUUUCAAAAUCUCAAAUGUUUUUUUAUAAACGGAUCGAUCGAUGUAUUUAUGUCCAAAAACGCAUCGAUCGAUCACUAGUUCGUCGAAAUUUCCUCGGAAUAUUCCGACGGAUUGAUGUUUCCUCGGAAUUCCGUCGGUAUAUUCCGAGGAAAUUCCGAGGAUUUCAUUUUCCGUCGGAAUGUCCUUCAGAAUACCGAUGUUUUCUUGUAGUGCGUCUUAUGCUUCUCAGAUCAUAACAUCGUGUCAACCAUAAAACAAUGACGAUUGAUCUUUGACGAUCAGCCCAUAACUCAAACGUGACGUGGUGGCUCCGGGACAAUGAACAAAGGUGGUGAUAUCACAACGGUGGCUCUCGGUGCUGGAUUGUUCAUGGGGCACGGACGGUGGCUGGUGAUGAUGAGAUUGACAAGGGUAUGGGUUCGCUGAGCAUAACAUCUCCAUUGGCGGCGCACGUCUUUAGGUUUUAGGUAGGAGGAGAUAUUUACACAAUAUAUAGUUGCAGAAUAUUGGUCAAAAUCGAGAAAGGUUACGGAAAUUAUAACUAAAAUUAAAUCCCACCGGUUUACCCAAAACCGGAUCGUUACAGUUACCGUAUGUUGGAAGAGACUUGAACCAAACACACGGUGACUCAUGUUGUAGAAUCAAUAGCCCCAUGUGACCAGAUGUAAAAGCCUAGAUUAUGUUUUAUCAUGCAUGAGUGUUUCUCUAAUUAGGCAAGAAAGUCAAAUAAGAUCUAGUAUUAAUGUCUAAAAUAAACACGCUAUUAUUAUCUUGCCUGAAAGAGACUGCAAGCAGCCCACAGAGAUAAAUAUUGGAAAGGAGACCUAGGAUGAUGAUUGGUUCGACUGUGGCUUUAAAAAUUUAGUUGUAGAUGAUUAGCUGUAGAUAAAUCGGUUGUAACUGUAAAGUUGUUACUGUAAAUUUUUUCUGAAGAGACUUUUGAUGUAAUUAAAAUUGUUGUACCUGUAAGCUGUAGGCUGUAGAUAUUUUAAAAUAAAACAUAUGAAAUAUGUGUUGUAUAUAUAAAAUUAUUAUUUUAUAUCAAUUAAAAUAAUUUAUAUUAAUAUUUUUAAUAAAUUAUCAAAAUUUAUUGUAAUUUAAAAUGUGAUAUGCAAAUAAUAUUUAUAUUAUUUAAAUAUCUUAAUAAUUUAAAAACACUAAAAUUCAAAAUUAAAAUAUUUAUAAAAGUUUUUAUUAUGAUUAUAUAAUUUAUUUGAUAUUAUAGAUAUUUUUUUUUCAUUUACAGAUUUUACAGCCUAUAAAAAGAAGAAGUAGGAUUUUUGCCUAAAAUACAUAAGAAAAAGUUUUGCUUUAUUUUUUUUGUUGUAGCUUUAAAAAUAAAGGUAAAGCAUGAUUGGUAAAACUAAAUAAAAACUUGAUGUAGACUUUAAUUUUUAAAAGUAAAGUUACAACAUGAUUGGUAAAAUUUAGUGAUUUAAAAAUAAAUAAAGCUAAAGUAUAGAGAUAAAGUCCAACCAAUCACUCCAUAGUCAAAAUGCUUGUUAUCUAUUACAUUACAUGUAGAGAGAUAUAAAGAUAUGUAAAGUAUUUUUUUUUUUUGAAACUAAGGUUUUGAAUGUUUAUAGCGGUCCGAGUAGAACGCACUGCGGGACGAAAAUUUGUUUACCAUUCAGCCUAAAUAUUUUGCUUCUGUUUUUGUCAAAAUUAAAUAAAUAAGAAAAGUAAAAAUCAAGUGCGGGACAUAAUUGUUAGUGGACCGCUCCCUGAACCGAAAAGAAAGUAAUGGGGUGUGGUUACAGGCUCCGAACGGUUGAGCGGAUUUAGCGGUGCGGGCCAAACGGAUUGAAUAAUGCGGUACGGUUUGACUACAGUUUUGUAAACUGCAGAUUAUUAGCGGUUAAACAAAAAAAAAGCGGUACAAAAUAAAAUGUGAAUGGUAACAAAAAGCAAGUGGGGUAUAAAACCAAGAGUAGAAUGGUAAAAGUAGAAUAAGCUAUGCGGAUAAGAUUUUAAUUUAAAAUAAAUUUUAGUAAAAGAAAUAUAUAAUUAUUAUUAAUAAAUAUAUAAAAUUGAAAUUUUUCUUAUUACACCACGUAGAAAAAUAUACAAUCAAGAAUUUAAAUUUUAUCACAACAUAUUUGCAAUAUUAUCCCUUAUUCGAACCAUAUAUUCUCCAUCUACUAGAUUUGUAGUAUUUAAUGCUUCGGUGUCGUUUAAAUCGUUCUCCGAGUUUGUGUUAUUUAUUCUCGUGUCUAUCAUUACUUCAGCAAAAUAUGCAUCUGCAAAAAUAUAUUAUAUGUUUGUUAAUAUCAUUUAAAUUUAAUUAUAUACCAUAUCAAAUAGAAAAAUUAUUUUUUAGAUAAAUAAAAUUUAUUUAUAUGUUCGCACCAUUUAAUUAUAUAUGUAAUAGUUACUGAAUUUUUAAUCAUUCAAUAUAUAUUUAUUAUUUUAUAAUAUGUAAAAACAUAUAAAACAUAUCAUUUAUAUAUAUAUAUAUAUAUAUAUAUAUAAUAUUUGAGCUGCGCAAUACGCAGAUCUUAACCUAGUUUAUGUUAUAUAUAUUGCAUAUAUUAUAAGCGGUGCGAAUUUUAAAUAUAUUUUAAUUAAUAACAUUAAUUUACAUUAUAACUAAAACUGGUUUUACAUUUGAACUUAAAUAAAUAAGUAUUUACAUAUAUUAUUUUAUAUUAUGUAUUAUAUAUAUAUUUCUAAAAUAAUAAUUUUCUGUUUUAUAAAUGAGAGUUAUAUUAAAUAUAUUUUAAACAAAACUAUUUAUUUAUAUUUAAUAAGUUAAAGAAAAUGAUAUGGAAAAAAAUUGAAAUGAACAAAUUUUCUUAGACACGUACUUUCAAAUGGUGCAAUUUAUAUUAUGUAUAUUACAUAUAUUUUAUAUUUCCAAAAUAAAAAUUUCUUUUUUAUAAAUAAAAAUUAUAUUAAACAUAUUUUAAACAUAAUUUUUUUAUAUAUAAUAAAUUAAGAAAAUGAAAUGAAAAAAAUGAAAUGAAAAUAGGAAUCAUAACGCACAAACCUUAAAUGGUGUAAGCAAUUCAAUUGUUUCCAUUGUAUAACUUGAUUACCUUUAUAAAAAUGUUUUAAAAACACAUUUUAAACAUAAUUUUUUCUUUUAUUUUUGAAAUUAUAACCGCAUACAGCGUUUUGUUUUUAGUUUAUACUGAAUGGUUACAUUAUUAAUGAAACACAUGUGUUUAGCUUUGACCACCCUUAACAUUCAGAACCAUAGUAAUGUAGAUAAAUUUAUUUUUCAGGUUUUAGUUAUUAAAAUAUCGAAAGCAUAAAUACAUCUACUAAUAUUUUAUCUAUAUAAUAUACAUAAACUUACUUUUAACUAAAAUUUAAAUAAGUAAUACUUGGGUAACAAAACUAAUAAUGCUAAAAAUAAUUUUAUUAUCUGGAACAUUAAUCUGAUCACCGAAGAAUCGAACCAAAAAAGAGAUUCGGUUCAGGUUUGGAUUAUAUCAAUUAUUCUUGCAGAUCCUAUAACUCUAGAACUAAAAUCAAACCGAAAUCAAACUGAAACCAAAUCAAGGACCGAGUGGAUAUCAAUUUUUUUUUUAAUUUAUAUAUUUAUAAAUAUUAACAAUAUUUAGUUUUUAAAAUAAUCAAAUAAUUUAAAAUAAUAUUUAUAAAUUGAAUACCUAAAGCAAUUACCAGAAUACUUUUUUAAUCUAAAAACAUUUAAAAUUAUCUGAAUUAUCUAAAAAAAUUAAUCAAAAAUGCGAAAAAUCUAAUAUUUAAUCCGUAAAAACUCAAAUUUUCUGACUUUUAACAUGAAUUAACCAAAAAACUAUAACCGAAUCAAAACCAAAUGGUAUCCAAGAUUAUGUAGGAUAUUAGUCGGUUUCUAACUUUUUUAAUUAAACCAAACCGAGUCUCAAAUGAACUGAAUUUUCUAAAUAUCCCAACUAGAGCAAUUCUAAUUUUUUAAUAAAAUAUAAUAUUGACCAUAAAAUCUUAAUAGUAUAAUAUUACAUUUCAUAUUUCAGAUAAAUACAAUAUAUUUUAAAAUAUAUAUAUAUAAAGUUAUAUUAGUAUCACUUAUUUUGUUAGUUUCUAAAAUAUAAAUAUAUUAUAUGUUUCUGGCAGUUAUACUAUUCAUAUAGUCACCAUUCAUAUUUUGUUUUGAACCGUUUAUUUAGAUGAACCGCAGUUUUUCUCUUAUACAAAUCGCGGUUAAACCGCACCGCAGUAUUCAUUUCACUUUAUCUGUAUCGCUCAAUCAGCCGUUACCAUUCGGGAGACAUUUUGGUUUUCAAUAAUUUGUAACACGACACGUACGUUGGAAAAACAUUAUAAUAGAGAAAGUCAUGAUGAGUAGUUGGGGAUUUUUCUAAUGCUAUGGAUGAAUAUUAAACAUUUGUAUGGUUUGGUCUUGAGUCACUAUAACAUUAAUUGGGAAAUGCAACACGUUACCUUAUGAUCCAUUCUCGAAAUUUCAAUUUUUUAAAAAGAAAAGUUGAUCAUGAACCGGCCGCCUCAUAUCCAUAAUUACUUUUUAAAACAUUCAUAAUUAAAAACUUACGUACGCUAUAUAUCCUUGACUAUUCUUGCAACAACUUUUACGAAAGGGGAAAAUAUAAACACACAAAUCUACCAGUACUGUUUAUUGCACAUAUUCAUUUUUUUUUGCUAAGUAUUUAUUGCACAUAUUCAUACUCCACGGUCAUAUAUCUAACUAGGGAAAAUAUAAAUUUGAUGUGAUUUAAUUUAAUUUAACAUUCAUUGAUUGAUGUCUCCUGCAUGUUGUACUAUAAAUACCUCUACUUGCCUAAAGAUACCAUAAAACUCAAAGCAAAAAUGAAGUCUUGUCUACUUCUCUUUCUCAUCUUCUCAUUUCUUUUAUCAUUUUCCUUAGCCGAGCAAUGUGGUCGACAAGCGGGAGGAGCUCUCUGCCCCAACGGUCUAUGCUGCAGCGAGUUCGGAUGGUGCGGUGACACCGAAGCUUACUGUAAGCAGCCUGGCUGCCAAAGCCAGUGCGGUGGUACUCCUCCUGGCCCCACCGGUGAUCUUUCAGGCAUCAUUUCAAGAUCUCAGUUCGACGACAUGCUUAAACAUAGAAAUGAUAAUGCUUGUCCCGCUAGAGGUUUCUACACUUAUGAUGCCUUUAUCAAUGCCGCUAAGUCUUUCCCUGGCUUCGGCACCACCGGAGACACUGCCACAAGGAAGAAAGAAAUCGCUGCCUUCUUUGGUCAGACUUCCCACGAGACCACCGGUAAUAAUUGAUUAUUUUCGUUUUUAACAUAAUUAUUAUUGUUUUAUUUAGAUGAAAAACAAAAUCAAAAUAACAAUUAAAAAUAUAACAAAAUAAUUAUAAAACAAUGUAAUUUUUACUUUUAUAAUUACCAUUUUUUUUGCUUAAAAUUUUACGAAUAUAAGAAUUUUCCAAAAUGACUUAAUAUAGAAAUCUAUCAAAAUUGUACUUCCUCUGUUUCAUAAUAAGUGUCAUUCUAGAUUUUUUUUUUCUUGUUAUAAAAAAAGUGUCACUUUACAAUUCCAAAACAAAUUAUACUUAUUUUCAUCUUAAAAUUAAUUGCAAAUUGUAUUGGUUUUAUAAAUAAUUUUAUUUAUCUCAAAUACUAUUUAUCUGGAAAAUGUAAUUAAUAACAACUUAUAUAUAUUUGCACUACUUUUGUGAAAAGUGUCAAAAUGAAACUUAUUCAGAAACGGAGGGAAUAUAAUACAAAACGUAACACAUAAGUUUUCAACGUACAUUUUCCCAAAUUAAAAUUAAACACGUAAUGAAUACAAAAUAAGAAGUGUAAUAAAUUUAACGUAAUUAAUAGAUUAGACUUUUUUAUAAUUAACAAAAGUCUAAUCUGUUACGCUAUUAGACUUGUGACUUAAUAAACUAAUGAAAUGGACGAUUGCAUGUUGAAGGUGGGUGGGCCACAGCACCAGACGGACCAUAUUCAUGGGGAUACUGUUUCAAACAAGAGCAGAACCCUUCUUCAAACUACUGUUCACCGAGUGCCGAAUGGCCAUGCGCAUCUGGUAAAAGCUACUACGGAAGAGGACCAAUGCAGCUAUCAUGGAACUACAACUACGGACAGUGUGGAAGAGCCAUCGGAUCUGACUUACUCAACAACCCUGACCUUGUCUCCAACGAUCCAGUGAUCGCUUUCAAAGCCGCGAUUUGGUUUUGGAUGACACCUCAGUCUCCAAAACCGUCGUGCCACGCCGUGAUCGUCGGCCAGUGGCAGCCUUCGGAUGCUGACCGUGCCGCUGGGAGAGUACCGGGUUACGGUGUGAUUACGAAUAUUAUUAACGGUGGUUUAGAGUGUGGACGCGGCCAAGACGCUAGAGUCGCGGAUAGAAUUGGAUUUUACCAGAGGUACUGUAACAUUCUUGGAGUUAAUCCUGGAGGUAACCUUGAUUGUUACAACCAAAGGUCCUUUGCUUCUGUUAACUUCUUCCUUGACGCUGCUAUUUAAUAAGGAGUGUUAUGCAGCUUUGUAUCCAAAAGCAAUAAGGGAUUAAUAUCAAACUAAAUAAAACUCUUUGUCGUAUCUUAUUCUUAGCUCCACUCCUCAUUUUUUGAAGCAUGUACCAAAUAACCUAAAGCUAAUCUUUCUCUAAUGAGAUAAACCAAACUAACAAAUCUUGUUUUGAUCGUUCAACUAACUUAAAACUGAACUUUCUAAUUACAUUUUCGGAUUUUGUUUAUGAGAGUUGGAAUGGACAAAGCAAGAUAUAAUUCUAUUACAUUUACAAGUUUCAAAACAGUUCAAGCGAGUUUCGCAUAACAUGUCGCUAUCUCCAAGCAUCAUUUCAAGUGUAAGCCUCGUAGUAUAAAAAUUUUGGCUACAAUAACCGGUUUAGACCGAAGUAAACCAAUCUAAAACUCCAAUAGCCUCUAUUUCUUAAACGUUACAAGACGAAAGUCAAUUGACAUUGAACCAAGUGUGAACACUAUUAAAGAGAAAGCACUCUAUUAAACCAAAUGUUAGAUGUAAACCAAAAUUAAAACUAAACCGAAAGUAAACCAAAAACUUAUUGGGCACAUUUACUGCGGGGACACAGAGUCCAACGACCUGUAACCGCAGAUGAUUAAUAUCCGAAAAUAUCUAAAAAGAUCAGAGCACCGAACCAAAAUAUAAAGUGAAGAUGAUGAAAAGCUGUUUCUCAAUCUUCUUCUCCAUCUUCGUCUCCUCUAGUGAUUUAGGGUUCUGCAACGACGAAGACAUGGCUUUACUCGGCGGCGUUCGCGAUGUACCUGCUAAUCAGAACAGCGGCGAGGUCGAGAGCCUCGCUCGUUUCGCCGUCGAUGAGCAUAACAAGAAAGAGGUUCAUCUCUCUCUCUCUCUCUCUCGAUUAGUGAUCCAAAUCGCGAUUAGAGUAAAUUGUCAUAGUCUCGCUUAGUAUGUGAUCUGAUCAUUGAGUGACGAUUGUAGAAUUCGCUGCUGGAGUUUGCGAGGGUGGUGAAGGCGAAGGAACAAGUUGUGGCGGGAACGAUGCAUCAUCUGACGCUUGAGAUCGUCGAGGCUGGGAAGAAGAAGCUUUACGAAGCCAAAGUGUGGGUGAAGCCUUGGUUGAACUUCAAGGAGUUGCAGGAGUUCAAGCCUGCCUCUGAUGCUGCCCCUUCUUCCAUCACUCCCUCCGAUCUUGGCUGCAAGAAAGGUAUCAGUUUGAGAUAAUAAAGCUUCAGGGUGAUUUAUUAUAUUUUAUUUAUGAAAAUUGGGCUUUUGUGGGGUCACAGGUGAACAUGAAUCUGGUUGGAGGGAAGUUCCAGGGGAUGAUCCAGAAGUGCAGCACGUUGCUGAUCAUGCUGUCAAGACCAUUCAGCAGAGGUCUAACUCUUUGUUCCCUUAUGAGCUUCAGGAGGUUGUUCAUGCUAACGCGGAGGUACUAUAUGGCUUUGCUUUACUUUGAUCGUAUUCAUAGCUUUAAUAUUAUCCGCCAUUGGUUUCAGUAAAGAAACUUGUUAGUCUCUGAAUUCAACUUAGCAAAGCUUUAACCAACUAUGGUCAGGUUACUGGUGAGGCUGCAAAGUUCAACAUGCUUCUCAAGUUGAAGAGAGGAGGCAAGGAGGAAAAGUUCAAGGUGGAGGUUCACAAGAACCAUGAAGGUGUUCUUCAUCUCAACCACAUGGAGCAACACCAUGACUAAUACCCCUGCUAUGUUUAUAUGUAAUCUUUGAGUGUUGUUUACUUACUCUCUGUAAGAUAUUUUAGCUUUCGGUGCAGACUAUAAAUUCUUAAAUAACAUAUCCGGAGAAAUAAAUUAAGUCUUUCUAAAUAGCGUAAAAUCGUUGAUUCAUUUACAAUAAACCGAAACAGGGCGAAGCUUUCGAUAACAGAAGCAUUUUCUAGAUAAAACGCCAAGUGCUGCUACUCUAUUUAAUGUCCUACUGAUGCUGCUUUACAUCAGCCUUCUGCGUGAUAAUCUUCCUUGUCCUCGUCUAUUCCUUUACCUAAACUUGCAAACUGUGCUGGAUCUAUUUUGCAAACUUAGCAACAUCAUGUUACCUCUUAAAACCAGAAUAUCAAUAGUUUACAAUAUCUGAAACUAGAGAAUAUAAAUAUGCAUUCAAGUGAACCCUUUUCCUGCUCUUUAGGCAGUGACGAUGGUAACAUGCAGAGGAAAGUCAAAAGAUAAAAGGCUAACGAAAUCUCUAACGCUUACAGGUGCAAUGAGCUCACGGUUUGAGCUCCUCUUUCAAGGGUAAUCUAAUAUGUACGAUCGCAAAGUUCUUGCAAGAACAAUUCCAAAGACUUUGCUGCAAUAAUAACAACUUUUGGCUGUGGUCACCCAACAUGACAUUGCCGAAAACUCAUCACUGUCAAACAAUGCCGCUCCAGGAGCAGAAUCACCACCUUCUUUCCAAAACCUUGACCUCGGCUACUUCUCAGACUAUCCUCUCAAUACGGUCGAAAACCACACUGCCCCCUGAUGAUUGAGAAAUUGAAGGAGUAUUUCUACUUUAACAACACUUCCAAAGGAUUGGACCAGCUUGAGUAUUGUUAUUUUUCAAACAGAUCUCCAUCAGGGCAGUGUUGUUUUCGACCGUACUGAGAGGAUGGUCUGAGAAGUAGCCGAGGUCAAGGUUUUGGAAAGAAGGUGGUGAUUCUGCUCAUGGAGCGGCAUUGUUCGACAGUGAUGAGUUUUCGGCAGUGUCAUGUUGGGUGACCACAGCCAAAGGUUGGAUUGAUUGAGGGGCUUUGUUGGUUUCUUCAAGUGACACGAUGAAGUCAUUUUGAGGGGAAGCCAUGGCUUUGUGUUAUUAUGAGUUUGUAUUUUCGCUUCACUGUGUAAGGUUUUAUUUAAUUUUUUUGGGAUGGUUCUAACGAAGAUCUCGUGUUUGAUUAUAGGGAUUUGAUUUAGGAAUGAUUUGAUUCUAACGAAGACUAGUGUUUGAUUAUUGCAUAAUAUAGGGAUUUGAUUUAGGAAUGAUUUGCUUUUUAUUCACUUACUUGCUAACGUUGUGUUAUUGAGUAAGGAAUAAUAAUAUUGCGUGCAUUUAUUUUUUUGUGUUAUGAGUUUUUAUUUCAGAUAUCAGUGUGUUGGGUUUUGACUUUUGAGUAUUAUAAACUUGUCCUAACCAUUAGAUUAUUUCUUGAGGUGGUUGAAUCCACUAUUUUUAUUGUUGUAGUUGUACUAUUCUUAGAUGACUUAUAUGUGAAGAGUUUAAUGUUGGUCAUGUUCUAGGAAAGUUUUCUUGAUGUUCUUGUAGGAUUUGAGUAUUUUGUGGCGUUUUUUGAGUUUUAUAUUUUUGUAUUGGUGUCAUAGUUCUUUAAUCAUUGUGAUGUUUUGCGCUUGAGCUAUUUAUAACAGACAAAUAUUUGUAUUCGUUAUGGUCUUUAGACUAUUUGUUGGGUGGUUUUAAGAAAACUUUUUGGAGAAUAUUAAAAAUGCAUUCAAGCGAACCCUUUUCCUGCUCUUUAGGCAGUGACGAUGGUAACAUGCAGAGGAAAGUCAAAAGAUAAACGGCUAAAGAAAUCUAACGCUUACAGGUGCAAUGAGCUGACGGUCUUGGCUCCUCUUUCAAGGGUUAUCUCAUAUGUACGAUCGCAAAGGUCUUGCGAGAACAAUUCCAAAGACUUUGCUGCAAUAAUAAUAGAACAUGAAAAAGGUAUAACAACCAAACAAAUUGCUUUUACACUUAUGUCAACAAGGACAAGAAAGAAGAAGUUGACUUACAAACUAAUAAAGCUAACCAGAGAACUUGAGAGAAAGUAAAGAUCUUUUCUGAAGUUUUAUUAAUCUCAAACUUGAUUACAACUUUUGCUAGGGUUUUUCUAUUUAUAACAAUCGAAAGAGCAAUCUGGUGACCUCACAGCUGUCAUCAUGACAGCUCACUCAUCUUCACCUCGGAGAGUAUGAAAUCGGUUGCGCAGAGGGAGGUGAUUAGUUGUGAGGACCGUACUCGUAUCUUGUAUUCUUGUUCUGUUUUGACUCAGAGGAUUUGUGACCGUUGAGAGUUGUUUGAUCUUGGUAUGUGGAGAGCCCAACUCGUUGUUGCUUUCUGAUCCAUUGGGCUUAAUAUCCCCGCGCAAACUCGAAGUGGGUGGAAACUCAACUCCGAGUUUGAACCGUAAGUGAUAGAAGCUCUGUUGUGGUAUAGACUUGGUGAACACGUCUGCAAUCUGCUGAACCGCUGGGAUGUGUUUGACGAUCAGAGAUCCAUCUGCCACUUUCUCCCGAGCAAAGUGAUAGUGUGUAGCGAAAUGUUUGGACUUGCGAUGAAGCACUGGGUUCGCAGUCAACUGCACCGCGGAGAGAUUGUCGCAAUAGACCUCUGCAGCAGUUUGAUGCUUUACUCCAAUACUCUGUAACAUCCCACUAAUCCAAGAUAGUUCAGCCGCUGUAUCCGACAAGGUUAUGUAUUCCUCUUCAGUGUACGAACGAGCAACUGAGUCUUGUCUCUUAGCAGGCCAUGAGAUCAGAUUUGAUCCAAGGAAUGUGCAGAAUCCUCCAGUAGACCGUCUCGUAUCUUGACAUCCAGCCCAAUCAUUGUCACAGUAGGCUCUUAGCUGUGAGUCUGUAUCUGACGUUAAGAAAAGUCCCAUGUUGAUGGUCCCUUUGAGGUAUCUCAGAAUUCGUUUGAGAAAGUUGAAGUCUGACACACAGUUGGCUCAUGCAUCUUCUAACACACUAGGUUCACAGAGAACUGAAUGUCUGGUCUGGUCAAUGUGAGGUAUUGCAGUUUGCCUGCAAGGCUUUGGAAGUAAGUAGGGUUCGAGAAUACUUCGUCUUGAUGUGGAACUCUAUCAAGUUGUAGAGGAAGUGGCGUCGGCAUUGGAGCACAAUCUAGCAUGCUUGCAGCUUGCAACAGAUCAGAAGCAUACUUUUCUUGAUUGAGAAAGAGGCCAGUGGGUGUGAAAUGAGCUUGAAUCCCAAGAAAGUAGCUCAGAUGACCCAUAUCUUUCAUUCUAAACUGCUUCUUAAGUGCAUCAGGAAGUUGUUGAACCAAUGCUUUGUGGUUUCCUGUCAGUACCAUAUCAUCAACAUACAGGAGCAAAAAGAUCACAUCCUUCUCCUUCUGAUAGACGAACAAUGAAGGGUCUUUAACAUUGCAAGCAAAGCCAAACUCUAGCAGGUAAGAGCUGAAUUUAUCAAACCAGGCCCUUGGAGCCUGCUUGAGACCAUAGAUAGCUUUGCGAAGUAGGCAAACAUAUUCCGGAUGAGCUUUAUCUUCAAAACCCAGAGGCUGUUUCAUAUAUACCGUUUCAUUCAGAUCACCGUGCAGGAAGGCAUUCUUAACAUCUAGCUGCCUUAUAUCCCAUUUGUUGAUGACCGCAAAAUGUAGCAUUAUUCUUACUGUCGCAGUCCUAACAAUUGGACUGUAAGUUUCCAGAAAAUCGACGCCUUAUGUCUGCUCAUUUCCUCUUGCAACUAGUCUAGACCGAAGCUUUUGUAGUGUUCCAUCAGCAAUAAGUUUGACUUUGUGAACCCAUCCAGGUCCAAUUGAUUGAACUCCUGACGGCAAUGGAACAAGACUCCAUGUUUCUGUUUCAUUACAUGUUGAUAUCUCCUCUCCCAUUGAUCCAUUCCAGCCUGGGUGAUUCAAGGCUUCUACCACUGUUCUAGGAGGUGUAGGAAGGUUUUUACCGUGAAUAUGGCAUACCUUGGAUUAGGUUUCAUAACUCCUACUUUUCCUCUGGUUGUCAUCUUAUGGGAAUUGGCAGGAGGUAGAACAACUGGAGCUUGAUCUUCUUGAAAACCAUCUUGACUGCUCUCAUCAGAAGAAGAACUAUCAGUAGACUGAUGAGAAGAUGAACCUUGCGCAGAAGGAGUUGCAACAGGUGAGGUUUGGUCUAGUACAUGCUGAUGAUCAGAGACCGGUAACAGAAUCGUUUUCCCAAUCUCUUCUUGAGUGUUGGGGAUAGUUUCUUCGGUUGAAAGUUGUUCUGUUACUGGAUACUGUAGUCUCCAAGAAGAGCUUAAUGGAGUUGUUACAGUAGGAAGCAAGUGUCGAUACACAUCAGUAUAUGGAAGUCUUGACUCAUCAAACAAGACAUGUCUGUUGAUAUACACACGUCCAGUUGGAGGAUGGUAACAUCUGUAGCCCUUGUACCUUUCGUUAUAACCAACAAAAACACACAGCAAGGACUUAGGGUCGAACUUAUUCUUCACAUAUGGACUUAGAUACGGGUACCAGGCACAGCCAAAGACUCGCAAGGCUGUGUAGAUAGGACUGUUUCCAUUCAGCAACUCAAAAGGACUUAUCAUCUUGUCAUUGACUGAAGACGGAAGAAGGUUGCUGAGAAAGGAUGCAGUGUAAAAGGCUUCAACCUACAGUGUGUAAGGCAUGUGACUCUGGUAUAACAUUGACAAUCCAAUCUCCGUAAUGUGUCGAUGACGUCUCUCAGCAAUUCCAUUUUGUUCCGGAGUGUGUGGACGUGACACAAUUUGUUUGAUCUCGGUUGCAGCAAAAUGAUCAGUGAGAGACUUGUUUAUGAACUCACCACCCCCAUCUGACUGAAAAAUUGCUAUCUUCUGAUUAUAUUGAUUUUCUACUUGAAGUUGAAAGGCUUUGAAGAUUGCAAACACAUCAGACUUUGAUUUAAGGGGAUAAAACCAACAGAAUCUUGAGUAAUUGUCAAUGAACACAACAUAAAAACGAAAACCCUGAACUGAAACAACAGGUGCAGGGCCCCAAACGUCACAAUGUAUUCUCUCAAGAACUCUACUUGAUCUGAAAACUGAACUAGAAAAGGGAAGUUUGCUUGUCUUGCCAACUUGACACGCUUCACACAGAAACUGAGACAGCUUAUUGAAAGAAAUGACCUUUAUUGUUGAUAGAUGCUUCAGAACUUGAUCAUUUGGAUGUCCUAGUCUCAUGUGCCACACUCUAUCACUGGCGAUAUGUUGUCUUGACGAGUAGAAAGCCUGAAACUGAGAGUCAUUGAACCGAUAUAAGCCCUUAUUUUUGCUUCCCUGACUGAGCACCUUGUUGGUUUGCUUGUCCUUAAUACACACAGUAGUAGCAUCAAAGGUGAACUCACAUGGAUAAUCAUCAGUGAGUUUAGACACAGACAACAAUGACUUGGUAAUUUUCGGACAGAUUAACACAUCAAGGAGUGGAAUUUUACCUGAUCCAGUAGGAAUGGAUGCAGAACCAACAUGAGUGAUAGGAAGGAAGUCACCAUUGCCGACCAUUACUUGACCAUCUCCAUCAUAUUCUUGAGCAUUGUCUAAGAGGUGAACUGAACUGGUAAUAUGGUGAGAAGCCCCACUGUCUGGAUACCAUUCAGCUCCUGGUGCCCUGUUGUGUUGUGAUGUGGUGAGGAAGUUGGCUUGUGGAGAGGGACUGUUGAUGGCAAAGUGUUCAUCGAACCUUCUGUAGCACUUGUACGCAGGAUGACCAUAUUUGCCACAAAUCUGACACGUUGGACGUUGAUCAGACAAGCCAGAAGACCUGCUUGCUGGAUGACCAAACUGUUGUGGGAAUCCUCUUCCUUGCGUAGUGUAUGAGCCACGACCUCUAUAACCUCCACGGUUCUGUCCUCUACCGCGUCCAGAGUAACCUCCAUGAUUUGUAUAGUAUGCUUCAUGAGAUGAGACGUCAGGAACUUGUUUGUAUGUCUCGAGAACUUGUUCGUAUGUCUUGAGCUUGUCCUCAAAGCCGGUGAGUUUGUGAACAACAUCUUCAAAGCAAGGACCUGGAUACACAUCCAUUGAGUGCUCUAUCACGGUAGACUGCUUCAUAUUCUUUCCCUAGACCAUUGAGAACUCCAUAGAUCUUCUCAUGCUCUGUGAUAGGGGCUCCUAUGGAGUCAAGCUGGUCACAAAGAUACUUUAUUUCAGAUAGAUACACUCCCAUGGUUUUGUUUCCUUUUACCGUUGUCUGAACACGCCGCUGUAGGUCGAGCUUUCUUGUUGCAGACACACGGUUAUACUUCUUUGCUAACGCCAACCAGACAUCUUGAGAGGUGUGGAGACCAUAAACUGACUUGAGCGCAUCUUCAGAUAAUGUUCCGUACAACCAAGCGAGAAUGAGUUGAUCCUUCUGGAUCCAUUUGUUGAACUCUGGGUUCACAGCUUGAGUUUCUUCUUCACCGUUGAGGACUGUGAGCGUCGGAGCAGGACGAGGCAAAGCACCAGUGACAUACCCCAGAAGCGUCUGAUUGGAGAGAAACUGCUCAAACUGAAGUUUCCAGAUGAGAUAGUUCCCUUCUUUGAGCUUCAAGGUUACUGCUUGAGUGAUUGUGAGAGCUGAAACAGCGAGCGGAUCUUGAUUGCCGUCCAUCGUCUGAGCUCUGAUACCAUAAAGGUAAGCAGAGAACUUGAGAGAAAGUAAAGAUCUUUUUUGAAGUUUUAUUAAUCUCAAACUUGAUUACAACUCUUGCUAGGGUUUUUUUAUUUAUAACAAUCGAAAGAGCAAUAUGAUGACCUCACAGCUGUCAUGACAGCUCACUCAUCUUCACUUUGGAGAGCAUCAAAUCGGUUGCGCUGAGGGAGGUGAUUAGCUGUGAGGACCGUACUCGUAUCUUGUCUUCUUGUUCUGUUUUGACUCAGAGGAUUUGUGACCGUUGAGAGUUGUUUGAUCUUGGUAUGUGGAGAGCCCAACUCGUUGUUGCUUUCUGACCCAUUGGGCUUAAUAACUAAGACAGGCACUGCCAAAGCUAUCUUGCCAACAUCCUCGUCAUAAUCUUUUUAAUACGAGCCUGAUAAGUGAAAAAAUAAUUCGUACAUGAUAGUCCAACUUCAAUGAUUCAGUAUAACCUAAUGCAAUGAACCGUCUUCAAUUGAUUUCUACGUCAUAUUCUACUACCGAUUCACCCUAAAUAAGAUGAAUCCGGUGACAGCGGUUUUCCUCCUGACACUCCCCGAUGGAAAUAAAAUUAAUUUUAUAUUAUGUAUAACAAAAAAGUUGGGUCAAAGGAAAAAAUGCAUAUAGUCAAAAAUCUAAAAUCUAUAGUAUGUUAGUUUUUUUUUUUGGAAAAGUUGCAUAGAAAACCCUACAAACACUUUAAACCCUCAAACUUUUUUGGCUAGCAUUUUUAACUUUCAAAGUGAUAAUUGUAUCAUAGAAAACCUUCAACCUAAAAACUGACCUGUUGAACAAAUAAAAACGAUGAAGUAUCAAUUUUUUUAAAAAAAAAUAACUAUUUAAUUAAUAAAAUAAAUAAAAAUUCAAAAAAUUAAAAACUAAAUUUCGAAAACUAAAUAAAAAUUCAGUAAAUUAAAUAAAAAUUCGGAAAAUAAAUAAAAAUUCAUAAAAUUAAAUUAAAGUACAUAAAAUUUAAAAACAAAUUAAUUAAAAAUUCUGAAAAUUCAUAAAAAUUAGAAAUAUCAAAAUAUCAAAAUAUAAUUGAAACAAAAUUAAAAAAAAAAUUCUAAAAAAAUUACAAGAUUAUUUUUUAAAAAAACUGACAUAUCAUCAUUGACAAUAAAAGUUUUAAACGUAUCACUAUUGACGAUGAUGGUGUCUCAUAUAACUAGGCCUGGAACUUUUAUCCGAGAUCCGGAUUCGAUCCGUGAUCCGAUCCGGAUCCGAUCCGAAAAUCCGGAUAUCCGGAGAGGCCGAAUCCGGAUCCGGAUAGUAAAAUGUUGGAUCCGUCAAAGCCGAAUCCGGAUCCGGAUAUCUUGAUUUUUUAGUCCGGAUAUCCGGAUCCGUAAAUUUUAUUAAUAACUAUUUCAAAAAUAGUAAUAUCUAUAUAUAAAAACUAAUUUUAUUUAAUAUAUUUUCACUUUUAUAAUAGUAUAUAUAAAUUUUAUGUAAAUUUUGUAAUAUUAUACAUAGAAAUAAUUAAAAACAUUAUAUAUAUUUUUAUUUUUAAAUUAUUGUUAAUAUUUUAUAUAUAUUAAUAUUAUUUUUUAUUUAUUUUAAGGAUCCAAAUCCGGAUCCGGAUAUCCGCCGGAUAUUAUAAUUUUUAGAAGGAUAUCCGACACCCAGAUAUCCGCGAACCCCGGAUCCGGAUAAGGAUAGUAAAAUUAUGGAUCCGCCGGAUAAGGAUCCGGAUCCGGAUAUCUUAAAAUUGCCCGGAUAUCCGAUCCGUCCCAGGCCUACAUAUAACCAUUAACAAUGACGGUUUUUGACAUAUUUUCAAUGAUAAUUUUUGACAUCUUCGUUGAAAAUGGUGGUAGACAUGUCAAUAACGAGAUAUCUUAAAAAUAAUAUUCUUGUAAUUUUUUUAAUAAAAAGAUUUUUGAAUUUUUGUGAAAUUUAUGAAUUUUUAAUAUUUUUUAAUUUUAUGUCUUUUAAUAUAAUUUUAUUUAGUUAUUUGAAUUUUUAUUUAGUUUCAUGAUUUUUUAUUUAAUUUCUGAAUUUUAUUUAUUUUUUAUUUAUUUUACUGAUUAAAUAAUCAUUUUUGGGAAGAAAACUGACGGCUCAUCGUUUUUACCUAUACAACAAGUCAACUUUUUACUUGAUGAACAUGUAAGUUAAGUUGAAGAUUUUUUAUGAUACGAAUAUCAAUUUGAAAGUUAAAAGGUGCUAGCCAAAAAAGUUGAAGAUUUAAUGUGUAUUACUGACUAGUAACACUUAAGUUUUUUUUGUUGCAAAAAGUAAUGUUAGUUAUAAAUAACUUUAUAUGGUGGUUCACAAGUAUUCGUUAGAUUCACUAAAAUCAGAUUGUCCGAAACGAUCUGACCAUGAUAUGGACCUCGUGGGGGGAGUUAGUUUCCUUUUUCUUUCGCUUGAACAAAAAAUUAGUUUCCAUUUUUUUCUAAAGUUAGUUUCCUUUUCUUGUUAAUGGCGGUCAAAAAAAAAAAGGGAAUAUCAUACGACAAUAAAUAUAAACUAGAUUUUGACCCGCGCUUUCAAAGCGCGGAUUUAUUUUUGUUUUUUUUUUCAAUUGACAAAUAUUUAGUAAAUGUCACAUUUUCAUAUAUUUGUGUUUUACUUUAUAAAAGACUUAAAAAUUUUAUCUUUAUUUAUCGUAUUUCAUUUUAAAUGACUAUUUAUGUUAAAAAAAACUAAACUUUAUUUUUUUUAUGAAUUAAGUUGGUAUAACUCUGAUAAAUUAAUUUUAUUAUGGGGUUAAUAUUUUAAUUAAAAAAUUAUAUACUUUUAAUAAAGAUUUAUACUUUUCAAUAAAAAAA
rnacentral:lncRNA from 1 species